CUCAUGGUUUCACGGUAUUGCAAUGAGAACAAUUUAAAACCCUUAGCGAGAAUCAAGUGGAGGACAAGUCUGGUGCCAGCACCCGCGGUAAUUCCAGCUCCACUAGCGUAUAUUAAAGUUGUUGCAGUUAAAAAGCUCGUAGUUGAACCUCUGUCUGGGGCUAGUUUUGGCUUUGGUCAGGCUAGUUCUAGGCAUCCGCCUACAAGACUUAGAGGGCAUUCAGUUGUUCACUAGGAGGAGUAGGCAUUUUACUUUGAAAAAAUUAGAGUGUUUAAGGCAGGCAAUCGCCCGCAUAUAUUAGCAUGGAAUAAUAGAAUAGGACACUUUUCCAUUUCGUUGGUUAUUGGAAUCGUGUAAUGAUUAAUAGGGACAGUUGUGGGCAUUUGUAUUUAAUUGUCAGAGGUGAAAUUCUUGGAUUUAUUAAAGACAAACUAACGCGAAAGCAUUUGCCAAGGAUGUUUUCAUUAAUCAAGAACGAAAGUUAGGGGAUCAAAGACGAUCAGAUACCGUCCUAGUCUUAACUAUAAACUAUUCCGACUCAAUGUUUGACUGGCUUAUAUAACCAGUUGAGCGUUGUAUGAGAAAUCAAAGUCUUUAGGUUCUGGGGGGAGUAUGGUUGCAAAGCUGAAACUUAAAGGAAUUGACGGAAGAGCACAACCAGGAGUGGAUUCUGCGGCUUAAUUUGACUCAACACGGGGAAACUUACCAGGUUAAAACAAUAGUGGGAUUGACAGUUUGAGAGCGCUUUCUUGAUUGGUUGGGUGGUGGUGCAUGGCCGUUCUUAGUUGGUGGAGUGAUUUGUCUGCUUAAUUGCGUUAACGAACGAGACCUUAACCUGCUUACUAGACUGGCGAUCAUCAAUCGUUAGCUCUUCUUAGAGGGACUUUGGUUGUUUUAACUCCAAGGAAGUUUGAGGCAAUAACAGAUCUGUGAUGCCCUUAGAUAUCCUGGGCCGCACGCGUCAUACAAUGACUAGUUCAGAAAGUUUUCUCCUGACCCGAAAGGGGAUGGGUAAUCUUGAUAAUACUAGUCGUGUUAGGGAUCGAUCUUUGCAAUUAUAGAUCUUGAACGAGGAAUUCCUUGUAAGUGCGGUUCAUCAGACCGUACUGAUUACGUCCCUGCUCUUUGUACACACCGCCCGUCGCUUCUACCGAGUGGGUGGUCCGGUGAGAUAAUUGAACUUCGCAGGUAACUGAGAGGAAAGAUUAUCAAACCUAUCCACCU
rnacentral:rRNA from 1 species